GCUCCACUCCUGGUGGUGCCCUUCCGUCAAUUCCUUUAAGUUUCAGCUUUGCAACCAUACUUCCCCCGGAACCCAAAAGCUUUGGUUUCCCGGAAGCUGCCCGCCGAGUCAUCGGAGGAACGUCGGCGGAUCGCUAGCUGGCAUCGUUUAUGGUCAGAACUAGGGCGGUAUCUGAUCGCCUUCGAACCUCUGACUUUCGUUCUUGAUUAAUGAAAACAUUUUUGGCAAAUGCUUUCGCUUCUGUCCGUCUUGCGACGAUCCAAGAAUUUCACCUCUAACGUCGCAAUACGAAUGCCCCCAUCUGUCCCUAUUAAUCAUUACCUCGGGGUUCCGAAAACCAACAAAAUAGAACCGAGGUCCUGUUCCAUUAUUCCAUGCACACAGUAUUCAGGCGAAAUUUUAGCCUGCUUUGAGCACUCUAAUUUGUUCAAAGUAAACGUGCCGGCCCGCCUCGACACUCAAUUAAGAGCACCGCGACAGGAUUAUUGAGUCGGACGGUAAAGCGCCUGCAACCCCACCACAUCAUACAGUAACAACCGAAGUUGCACACGCACAAUGGGGAAGCAUACAGGGUCUACGCGUCCACCGGCAGGACGUUCCGCGGACGUGCCAGUUAAACACCGCGGGCGGUGAACCGACAGCGCGGAACACAAAUUCAACUACGAGCUUUUUAACCGCAACAACUUUAAUAUACGCUAUUGGAGCUGGAAUUACCGCGGCUGCUGGCACCAGACUUGCC
rnacentral:rRNA from 1 species